UCCUGUAAAGAGGGCUAGAAUCAGUUGGAGGCUGGUGCUUGGAGUUGGAGGAGCCUGCGGACAGCUUUCCUUCAGAUUGGUCACAUAAGAAAAAGAAAGAUAGUUCUUGCCCUCAAGGAGCUUGAAUGAGAGAAGAAAAAAACACAAAAACAAUGAUGACCAAAAGCUGAAUAGUGAACAUUAUCCAUCUGAGAACAGGUAUGGCAUGCAGAUGAGACUGAAGAGCAGGAGCAGUCAAAGGAAGUUUUGUUCCCCACUGCUGGGGAUCUUAAAAAAGAUUUCACUAAGAACUAAGUAUAAGGAGCAGAUGAGGAAACUGACAGAGAAGUUCAAUGAUUUGCGCAGAAGUUCAGUGAUUUGCCCAGAUUCAUGUAACUAGCAAGUGUCUGAAGCAGGAUCUGAGCCCAAAUCUUCCUGACAUCAAGGCCAAGGCUAUAUCCACUAUAUCAACUCUAUGAUAUUAUUGUUAUUAUUUAUUAAUCUGUCCCUUCUUCCCCUUAAUAAAAAUGAAAAUCAGGACA
rnacentral:lncRNA from 1 species